CAGUCGCCACGGUAAUACGGAGGGUGCAAGCGUUAAUCGGAAUUACUGGGCGUAAAGCGCACGCAGGCGGUCUGACAAGUCAGAUGUGAAAUCCCCGGGCUUAACCUGGGAACUGCAUUUGAAACUGUCAGGCUGGAGUCUUGUAGAGGGGGGUGGAAUUCCAGGUGUAGCGGUGAAAUGCGUAGAGAUCUGGAGGAAUACCGGUGGCGAAGGCGGCCCCCUGGACAAAGACUGACGCUCAGGUGCGAAAGCGUGGGGAGCAAACAGGAUUAGAGACCCCUGUAGUCCUGUCUCUUAUACA
rnacentral:rRNA from 1 species